CUGGCGGCAUGCCUAACACAUGCAAGUCGAACGGUAACGCGGAGAGCUUGCUCUCUGGCGACGAGUGGCGGACGGGUGAGUAAUACUUAGGAAUCUGCCCAGUAGUGGGGGACAACAUUCGGAAACGGAUGCUAAUACCGCAUACGCACUACGGUGGAAAGUGGGGGACCUUCGGGCCUCACGCUAUUGGAUGAGCCUAAGUCGGAUUAGCUUGUUGGUAGGGUAAUGGCCUACCAAGGCGACGAUCCGUAGCUGGUCUGAGAGGACGAUCAGCCACACUGGGACUGAGACAC
rnacentral:rRNA from 1 species